AUUAAACGCUGGCGGCAUGCCUUACACAUGCAAGUCGAACGGCAGCACGGGGGCAACCCUGGUGGCGAGUGGCGAACGGGUGAGUAAAGCAUCGGAACGUGCCCUGGAGUGGGGGAUAACGUAGCGAAAGUUACGCUAAUACCGCAUAUUCUGUGAGCAGGAAAGCAGGGGAUCGCAAGACCUUGCGCUCUGGGAGCGGCCGAUGUCGGAUUAGCUAGUUGGUGGGUAAAGGCCUACCAAGGCGACGAUCCGUAGCGGGUCUGAGAGGAUGAUCCGCCACACUGGGACUGAGACACGGCCCAGACUCCUACGGGAGGCAGCAGUGGGGAAUUUUGGACAAUGGGCGAAAGCCUGAUCCAGCCAUGCCGCGUGAGUGAAGAAGGCCUCGG
rnacentral:rRNA from 1 species